GAUGAAGAGCGUAGCGAAAUGCGAUACGUAAUGUGAAUUGCAGAAUUCAGUGAAUCAUCGAAUCUUUGAACGCAUAUUGCGCUCUUUGGUAUUCCGAAGAGCAUGCUUGUUUGAGUAUCAGUAAACACCUCAAAAGAUUUUCAUUUUUGAAAUGAUUUUGGACUUGAGCAAUCCCAACACCAGUCUUCACGGAUCGGCGGAGGGUUGCUUGAAAUGCAGGUGCAGCUGGACAUUCUCCUGAGCUAAAAGCAUAUCUAUUUAGUCCCGUCAAACGGAUUAUUACUUUUGCUGCAGCUAACAUAAAGGGAGUUUGACCAUUUUGGCUGACUGAUGCAGGAUUUCACAAGGGUCGGUAAAACGAUUUUUGUAAAACUCGAUCUCAAAUCAAGUAAGACUACCCGCUGAACUUAAGCAUAUCAAUAAGCGGAGGA
rnacentral:misc_RNA from 1 species